rnacentral:rRNA from 1 species
AGAGUUUGAUCCUGGCUCAGAGUGAACGCUGGCGGCGUGCCUAAUACAUGCAAGUCGAACGAUGAAGUCCUAGCUUGCUAGGAUGGAUUAGUGGCGCACGGGUGAGUAAUAUAUAGUUAAUCUGCCCUACACAGAGGAACAACAGUUGGAAACGACUGCUAAUACCUCAUACUCCUAUUUGGCAUAAGUUAAAUAGGGAAAGUCUUUUCGGUGUAGGAUGAGACUAUAUCGUAUCAGCUAGUUGGUAAGGUAAUGGCUUACCAAGGCUAUGACGCGUAACUGGUCUGAGAGGAUGAUCAGUCACAUUGGAACUGAGACACGGUCCAAACUCCUACGGGAGGCAGCAGUAAGGAAUAUUGCGCAAUGGGGGAAACCCUGACGCAGCAACGCCGCGUGGAGGAUGACACUUUUCGGAGCGUAAACUCCUUUUAUCAGGAAAGAAUAAUGACGGUACCUGAUGAAUAAGCACCGGCUAACUCCGUGCCAGCAGCCGCGGUAAUACGGGGGGUGCAAGCGUUACUCGGAAUCACUGGGCGUAAAGGACGCGUAGGCGGAUUAUCAAGUCUUUUGUGAAAUCUAGUGGCUUAACCACUAAACUGCUUAGGAAACUGAUAGUCUAGAGUAGGGGAGAGGUAGAUGGAAUUCUUGGUGUAGGGGUAAAAUCCGUAGAGAUCAAGAAGAAUACCCAUUGCGAAAGCGAUCUGCUGGAACCUAACUGACGCUGAGGCGUGAAAGCGUGGGUAGCAAACAGGAUUAGAUACCCUGGUAGUCCACGCCCUAAACGGGAGUACGGUCGCAAGAUUAAAACUCAAAGGAAUAGACGGGGACCCGCACAAGCGGUGGAGCAUGUGGUUUAAUUCGAAGAUACGCGAAGAACCUUACCUGGACUUGACAUCCUAAAAACAUCUAAGAGAUUAGAAAGUGCUAGUUUACUAGAAUUUAGUGACAGGUGCUGCACGGCUGUCGUCAGCUCGUGUCGUGAGAUGUUGGGUUAAGUCCCGCAACGAGCGCAACCCACGUGUUUAGUUGCUAACAGCUCGGCUGAGCACUCUAAACAGACUGCCUUCGUAAGGAGGAGGAAGGUGUGGACGACGUCAAGUCAUCAUGGCCCUUAUGUCCAGGGCGACACACGUGCUACAAUGACAUAUACAGUAAGACGCAAUAUCGCAAGAUGGAGCAAAUCUAUAAAAUAUGUCCCAGUUCGGAUUGGGGUCUGCAACUCGACCCCAUGAAGCCGGAAUCGCUAGUAAUCGUAGAUCAGCCAUGCUACGGUGAAUACGUUCCCGGGUCUUGUACUCACCGCCCGUCACACCAUGGAAGUUGAUCUCACUCGAAGCAGGGAUGCUAAAAUAGCUACCUUCCACAGUGGAAUCAGUAACUGGGGUGAAGUCGUAACAAGGUAACCGUAGGAGAACCUGCGGUUG